rnacentral:rRNA from 1 species
UACAGAGGGGGCAAGCGUUGUUCGGAAUUACUGGGCGUAAAGGGCGCGUAGGCGGCCUUCUAAGUCGCACGUGAAAUCCCCGGGCUCAACCCGGGAACUGCGUCCGAUACUGGAAGGCUUGAAUCCGGGAGAGGGAUGCGGAAUUCCAGGUGUAGCGGUGAAAUGCGUAGAUAUCUGGAGGAACACCGGUGGCGAAGGCGGCAUCCUGGACCGGCAUUGACGCUGAGGCGCGAAAGCCAGGGGAGCAAACGGG